AUUGAACGCUGGCGGCAGGCCUAACACAUGCAAGUCGAACGAGUGGCGGACGGGUGAGUAAUGUCUGGGAAACUGCCUGAUGGCGGGGGAUAACUACUGGAAACGGUAGCUAAUACCGCAUACCAUCAGAUGUGCCCAGAUGGGAUUAGCUAGUAGGUGGGGUAACGGCUGACCUAGGCGACGAUCCCUAGCUGGUCUGAGAGGAUGACCAGCCACAGUGGAGCGGAGAAAGGGUCCAGAGUCCUGCGAGAGGCAGCAGGGGGGAAUAGGGCACAAUGGGCGCGAUCCUGAUGCAGCCAUGCCGCGUGUAUGAAGAAGGCCUUCGGGUUGUAAAGUACUUUCAGCGGGGAGGCGUUACCCGCAGAAGAAGCACCGGCUAACUCCGUGCCAGCAGCCGCGGUAAUAC
rnacentral:rRNA from 1 species